UGUGAGUAGUUCAGAGUUUUGAUCCUGGCUCAGGAUUAACGCUGGCGGCGUGCCUAAUACAUGCAAGUCGAACGGAGGCCUUCGGGCCUUAGUGGCGAACGGGUGAGUAAUACGUAGGUAACCUACCUUUAAGACGAGGAUAGCCAUUGGAAACGAUGGAUAAUACUGGAUAGGACAGUAAAUGAAGCAUUUCAAACUGUUUAAAGGGGAGACCCACUUAAAGAGGGGCCUGCGGCGCAUCAGCUAGUUGGUAGGGUAAAGGCCUACCAAGGCGAUGAUGCGUAGCCGGACUGAGAGGUUGAACGGCCACAAUGGAACUGAGAACGGUCCAU
rnacentral:rRNA from 1 species